ensembl:snRNA U6 U6 spliceosomal RNA
GUGCUUGCUUCAGCAGCACAUACACUAAACGUGGAACGAUACAGAGAAGAUUAGCAUGACCCCUGCACAAGGAUAAAAUGCAAAUUCAUGAAGCAUUCCAUAUUUUU